rnacentral:rRNA from 1 species
UACGGAGGAUCCAAGCGUUAUCCGGAUUUAUUGGGUUUAAAGGGUGCGUAGGCGGCUUUUUAAGUCAGGGGUGAAAGACGUUAGCUCAACUAACGCAGUGCCCUUGAUACUGAAGAGCUUGAAUGGACUAGAGGUAGGCGGAAUGUGACAAGUAGCGGUGAAAUGCAUAGAUAUGUCACAGAACACCGAUUGCGAAGGCA